GAUCGGUGAUAAAAUCGUAGACCACAUGCCACGGCACUUUUUUAGUUGUAAUUACGCUGAAACGAAACACUGGAGUAACUUUGGGGGUCAAUUUGGUGGGGGCCUGAGGGCCUCGAUUUGAAUCUGCUUUCCAGCGGCCGAUCUGCUGAAAGACUUGACCAUGUGGGGCCUGCUGGCUUUGGGGUGUCGCGUUUUUUCAGUGCCUGGAACCAUUUCCAGAACGUGGAGUAGUCGUUCUCGCUCUCGCCUGCAAAAGUGUGACAGUGUGCUUUCGAGACGGGUUUUACUUACUACAUUUUGAUUUCUUCAUGGGGGCACAUCCCCAUACAUUUACCUUCGAUGGAUAAAGCGACUUUUUCCAUACUUUGACUGACUGUCUGUGUCAAUCCAUCACUUGUUUGUGGUUGUAAUUAUUAUAGGUUAUUUUUGUACGCGUGCGCAAAUAAAAACUACUAAAAUAA